AAAGACUGCCGUAAGAACUCAUGAAGGACAAACCGAAAGUUUUCCCAUAACUGUAGGAUUACAUCAAGGCUCAUCCUUAAGUCCUUACCUUUUUGCGUUGGUAAUGGAUGAGUUAACAGGACAUAUUCAAGGUGAUAUUCCUUGGUGUAUGCUUUUCGCAGACGAUAUAGUGUUGAUAGAUGAAACUCAGGAAGGGGUAAAUGCAAAGCUUAACCUUUGGAGAGAAGUGUUGGAAUCUAAAGGUCUUCGCCUAAGCCGAUCAAAGACAGAAUAUGUGGAGUGCAAGUUCAGUGCAAAUGGAGGCCAAAACGAGUUAGGGGUGAGGAUCGGAGAUCAAGAAAUACCAAAGAGCGACCGUUUUCGUUACCUAGGAUCUAUCUUGCAAAAGAACGGAGAAUUAGAUGGAAAUCUCAACCAUAGAAUACAAGCUGGAUGGAUGAAGUGGAAGAGUGCAUCCGGCGUAUUGUGUGACCGCCGUAUGCCACUGAAGCUCAAGGGAAAAUUUUAUAGGACGGCAAUAAGGCCGGCGAUGCUGUAUGGCACAGAAUGUUGGGCGGUGAAGCAUCAACACGUACACAAAAUGGGUGUAGCGGAGAUGAGGAUGCUUCGUUGGAUGUGUGGGCACACGAGAAAGGAUAAGAUUAGGAAUGAGGAUAUCCGGGGUAAAGUAGGAGUAGCCGAAAUUGAAUGAAAGAUGAGAGAAAAUCGGUUACGGUGGUUUGGACAUGUGCAAAGAAGGCCUACUGACGCUCCGAUUAGAAGAUGCGACUAUGGGACAGAGGUUCAGGGCCGAAGGGGCAGAGGAAGACCUAGGAAAACUUUGGAAGAGACCCUAAGAAAAGACUUAGAGUACUUGGAUCUAACGGAGGACAUGACACAGGACAGAACACAAUGGCGUUCUAAGAUUCAUAUAGCCGAUCCCACUCAGUGACUUGGAUUUUCCAAGUCUCCAACCGAGAAGUUUUCCUCACUCGGGAAAUUAAGGGAACACUACCUCAACCUAUAUGCUCCACUCACAAAGCUUCAACAUACAAGCUUCAACAAAAGAAAAUUCAAAGAACUUAGCGAAGAAGGCUUUGGUGUAUUUAACACAAUACGUUGAAAUGAAGGAAAGCUUAUUUAUUGAUAUCCCCGAUAAGUUACAAAUAUGUACAUAUACUUGAGUCAAAAUAAACAAACAAGAGGGAGCCUUCACAAAGGUUGCUUAGGAGAAGUCUCAGCAGUCGAUAGAGCCCCAGAAAAGAGAAGGCACCGGAGGGGGAUCAUUCGGAGCCUCAGUAUUGGACAAAACCCUAGAAGGAGGAGGCAUCAGAGAUUGAUCAUUUGGAGCUUCAUUACGCGGUACAGCCCCAGAAGACGAAGGCAAUAAAUGCCUUUGGAACAAACCCACAAAUCUCUGAUGAUCAAGUAAAACCUGACCAUCAGAUUCCUUCAUCUGGUCAAGCUUCCCCUUCAUAUGUUUGUAGCAUAGUCAUGUGCGAGCCGGUGCAACUGUUUAUUCUCAUGCUUGAGCCCUCUAAUCUCCUGUUUGAGACUCAUCACUUCAGCCGCCAAUGAUUCAACUUGGCGGGUUCGAGCAAAUAGGCGUUGGGCCAUAUUAGACACAGAACCUGCACACUGAACACUGAGAGCCAGAGAAUCCUUAACAGACAACUCAUCAGACCGUUUGGAAAGUAGUCUGUUAUCUUUGGGAGUGAGAAGGUUCCUGGCCACUACCGCAGCGGUCAUAUCAUUCUUCAUCACGGAAUCCCCAACGGUAAGAGGACCAGUAGGGGAGACGAAGGAUGGGCGCCAUAUGUUGUCUGGAGAAGGCGGGGCUGCCUCUUCAACAAGGUUCAAGUCAAAACGACGGUCGGAGGGGCCAGACAUUUUCAAAGGUGUUGAAGAGAUAAGAGGUCGGACAAAUCAAGAUCUUAGAAGUGCAAGAAUGGAGCUUCUACUGGUGGAUAUUCAAGUGUGCUUUGGAACUUAAUGUCAGCCCCUAUAAAAAUCUGCACUCGAUGAAGCUUCAGAAAUCGAAGAGGCGCCUGCUCAGAAAUCGAAGAGGCGUUUGCUUUCUCAAAAGCUGGGCUGCUCAGAGAUUCUCAAAAGCUGGGCUGCUCAAAGACCACAAAGGCCGAUCUCAGAAAUCGAAGAGGCACCUACUUUUCCAGCCUUGUCAGCACCUGUCACACGCACACUCAGCUUUGCGGAAAUUAUAGGCAUUCUGUCGAAGAUUUCUGGCGAAGUAGAAAGCACAUGAAUCGUACUGUUCAAUCACCCACUUCCCACACGCAACAGUAGCUCAUGGGUACCACAGAUAACUUUGCCAAAGUUCUCUGACAAAGUUGAGACACGUGAAGCUUGCAGCUCCCACUACACCGCUCUGACCAAGGGUAAAAGAAUUGCAAAGAAACAACACUAACAAAGUUUAGACACAUAAAUUUUGAAGGUCUAGCUACCAUAUUAUUACCCACAAGGGUAAAAGAACAGUACCACUGCUGGAUAAUUGGAAAGUCCCGGUGUGUCAACCUCUGUGCUUCGUGGCAAGGUAGACUAGCAAACAUGCCCAACCUUUACUCACAUUCGAGAAAACACUCCUAACAAGAUUGCUUGCUCCAAAAUCGAAGAGGCACCGCCCUCCGAAUCUCGAGAGCCAGACUCCCAACAUGAUUACUUUCUCAAAAAUCGAAGAGAGGGUAAAGGAACAGUACCACUGCUGGAUAAUUGGAAAGUCCCUGUGUGUCAACCUCUGUGCUUCGUGGCAAGGUAGACUAGCAAACAUGCCCAACCUUUACUCUCAUUCGAGAAAACACUCCCAACAAGAUUGCUUGCUCCAAAAUCGAAGAGGCACCGUCCUCCGAAUCUCGAGAGACAGACUCCCAAACAUGAUUACUUUCUCAAAAAUCGAAGAGACACCGCUCUCCGAAUCUCGAGAGCCAGACCCCCAGCAGGAUUGCUUUCUCAAAAAUCGAAGAGGCAUCGUUUUCCGAAUCUCGAGAGCCAGACCCCCGACAGGUCUGUAAUCUUCACACGCAACAUCAGCUUUCCAGAUACCACAAACCACUUUUUCAAAGUGCUCUGACAGAGUUAAAACAUGUGAAGCUGGCAGCUCCCACUACCGUGCUAUAACCAAGCAGGGUAAAGGAAUAGCAUUAUUACUUGAUGUUAGGGAGACUCCUAUAUAUGUCGACUUCCAUCCCUAACGGACAGGCAGACCUGCAAAAAUGCUCAACCCUUUCUCUUAUCUGAGAGGGCACUCCCAACAAAGCCUUUCGAAAUAUUCAGUUUUUUUUCCCCCCGAUAAUACCUCUGUAAACAAGCUAUACUAGAGCAAGAAUAUCUCAUAUCAUCAGGGUUAAAAGCAAGAGUAUCCCAUAUCAUGCUUUUUCCCUGUCUUUUCCUUUGGCCUUGUUCUUACCUGCAAGACAAGGAGAAAGAGAGCAAUCAGUCAGCACUUGGAAUCAAGCUUCCAGCCAGGAACUGACUGCCUGGAACCCCUUACCUGAUUACUUACCUGGCAUUGCUCUCGAGUACUCAUCUGCAACAUCUUAUGCUUCCAGGGAAGAUACUGCAUCUGCCUGAGGAACAGAUAAGGCAAGUGAGAAGGAUACAAGGAAGCAUGUGGAGACAAGCGUAACAGCACACGUGCCGAUACAUCCACUACUCUAUCAAAAGCAAAAGUAUCCCAUAUCAGCAGGGUCGAACGUACUCUAGAUUUGAUGGACUUGUUUUGACCCUCAAAUUCUUCAGUCGGCCUUAUACUCUGGAGGAAACCAGAAAACCCUCCAGCCCAGUUCAAGAAUAAGCCUGUGGAAAGUUACUUCUUCAAAAGCAAAAGUAUCCCAUAUCAUCUCUCCUCAUUUUUCUUCUCUUUAUCCUUCAUGCUGCCUGCAAGAUAGGGAGAAUGUGAACAAUCAGCCGGAGCUCUGAUUGCUUACCUUGUCUGUCACCUCGUUUAGCAGAUCCCCCAGCUCGGCGACUUGGGGGACUCCUAUUACAUGGUUUGUAUCUCGAUUGACCAAGCAUGAAACUACAAGUAAGCUUCAAGUGAAAUCGAUACAUUACCUUGUGCAUCUCCACCAGUUACAGAUACCACCCCUGGAUGGAGGAAGAGUACUUCCAGAGAAGAUGCCACAUCUACCUAUGAGACAGAUAAGGCAAGUCAAGACGAUACCACACUCCGGUACUUAGAAGUUUCGUGGCUACGAGAUCAUUCUCCCAUAAUUUUUCCUAAUGUCAUUUGUAUUAAAUCAUUCACUUGUACUCACUAAAGGAGAGCUUGAACCUAUGUACUUGUGUAAACCCUUCACAAUUAAUGAGAACUCCUCUAUUCCGUGGACGUAGCCAAUCUGGGUGAACCACGUACAUCUUGUGUUUGCUUUCCUAUCUCUAUCAAUUUAUAUACUUAUCCACACUAAUGACCGGAGCAAUCUAGCGAAGAUCACAAAAAGUGACCGUUUUCGCUACCUAGGAUCUAUCUUGCAAGAGAACGGAGAAUUAGAUGGAGAUCUCAACCAUAGAAUGCAAGCUGGAUGGAUGAAGUGUAAGAGUGCAUCCGGCGUGUUGUGUGACCGUCGUAGGCCACUGAAGCUCAAGGG
rnacentral:lncRNA from 1 species